CGCGAAUAGCUCAUUACAACAGCUAAAAUUUACUCGAUCUUGACACAAUCCUACUUGGAUAACUGUGGUAAUUCUAGAGCUAAUACAUGCAUUAAAGCUCUGACCUUCGGGGAAGAGUGCAUUUAUUAGGACAAAACCAAGCGGCUUCGGCUGUUUUCGGUUGACUCAUAGUAACUGAGCUGAUCGCAUGGUCUUGCACCGGCGACGUGUCGUUCAAGUAUCUGCCGUAUCAACUUUCGAUGGUAGUGUAUCUGACUACCAUGGUGAUCACGCGUAACGGAGAAUAAGGGUUCGACUCCGGAGAGUUCGCCUGAGAAAUCGCGAACACAUCUAAGGAAGGCAGCAGGCGCGAAAAUUACCCACUCUCAGCACGAGGAGGUAGUGACGAAAAAUAACGAGACCGUUCUCUUAUGAGGCCGGUCAUCGGAAUGGGUACAAUUUAAACCCUUUAACGAGUAUCUAUGAGAGGGCAAGUCUGGUGCCAGCAGCCGCGGUAAUUCCAGCU
rnacentral:rRNA from 1 species